UUGGUGGGGUUGUACUGAGCCCGGUCCACACUCAGCAGGAACUGAUGCCUCUGUUUGAUGAUGUGGAGACGACAGCGGAACACCUGUGGCCACUCCACCAAUGUGUUGUGGGACAUCUCCAUCGUGUUGUACAGCAGACGUGGAAAGACCUGGCUAGAGACAUCACAAGCCCUCUAUACAUUUCUCGACUCCCCAUUCGCUGUCAGCUGGUAAUUGGGGGAUGCUGACUUUGCAUACUUGUCAACAUGUCACCCUGACAAUGAGAUUGACAGUGGCUGUUCUGUCCUUCAGUGUGUCCUUAGUCACGGGAUCAACAAAUGGGAAAGAAAAUCCACUGUCGCAUCUGUACCAAACCACAUGUUGCUGGCAUCUUCGACUGUGCAUUAGCAUCUUCACAGACAAGUGUGUAUGUGAUGCAGGGCUUGAACACAAGUCCAGUGUCUGAGAUUACUGAACUUCAGGGAGGGCUUUGGACUACCACUUUUACUUUUGGGUAGAUGAAAACUUGACGGCAGAUCAUUUACUUCUAACCGUGCAAUAUGUACGUAUGAAACCUCAUCACAUGUCAUGUUUAACAGCCACCAUUAAACAUGUUAAAGUGAACAACUCGAGAACCAAA